rnacentral:rRNA from 1 species
AGAGUUUGAUCCUGGCUCAGGACGAACGCUGGCGGCGUGCUUAACACAUGCAAGUCGAGCGGAAAGGCCCUUCGGGGUACUCGAGCGGCGAACGGGUGAGUAACACGUGAGCAACCUGCCCCUGGCUCUGGGAUAGCCUCCGGAAACGGGGAUUAAUACCGGACAUUCACCACUUUCCGCAUGGUCGGUGGUGGAAAAGUUUUUCGGCCAGGGAGGGGCUCGCGGCCUAUCAGCUUGUUGGCGGGGUAACGGCCCACCAAGGCGACGACGGGUAGCCGGCCUGAGAGGGCGACCGGCCACACUGGGACUGAGACACGGCCCAGACUCCUACGGGAGGCAGCAGUGGGGAAUAUUGCGCAAUGGGCGAAAGCCUGACGCAGCGACGCCGCGUGGGGGAUGAAGGCCUUCGGGUUGUAAACCCCUUUCACCAGGAGCGAAUCCAGACGGUACCUGGGGAAGAAGCGCCGGCUAACUACGUGCCAGCAGCCGCGGUAAUACGUAGGGCGCAAGCGUUGUCCGGAAUUAUUGGGCGUAAAGAGCUCGUAGGCGGCCUGUCGCGUCCGCUGUGAAAUCCUGGGGCUUAACCCCGGGCGUGCAGUGGAUACGGGCUGGCUAGAGGCAGGCAGGGGAGAACGGAAUUCCCGGUGUAGCGGUGAAAUGCGCAGAUAUCGGGAGGAACACCGGUGGCGAAGGCGGUUCUCUGGGCCUGUUCUGACGCUGAGGAGCGAAAGCGUGGGGAGCAAACAGGAUUAGAUACCCUAGUAGUCC